GACGAACGCUGGCGGCGUGCUUAACACAUGCAAGUCGAACGGAAAGGCCUCUUUCGGGGGGUACUCGAGUGGCGAACGGGUGAGUAACACGUGAGUAACCUGCCCUUGACUUUGGGAUAACUUCAGGAAACUGGGGCUAAUACCGGAUAGGAGCUCCUGCUGCAUGGUGGGGGUUGGAAAGUUUCGGCGGUUGGGGAUGGACUCGCGGCUUAUCGGCUUGUUGGUGGGGUAGUGGCUUACCAAGGCGUUGACGGGUAGCCGGCCUGAGAGGGUGACCGGCCACAUUGGGACUGAGAGACGGCCCAGACUCCUACGGGAGGCAGCAGUGGGGAAUAUUGCACAAUGGGUGGAAGCCUGAUGCAGCAACGCCGGGUGCGGGAUGACGGCCUUCGGGUUGGAAACCGCUUUCGCUCAUGACGAAGCUUUGUGUGACGGUAGUGGGUAAAGAAGCACCGGCUAACUACGUG
rnacentral:rRNA from 1 species